CCUACGGGUGGCUGCAGUGGGGGAUAUUGCACAAUGGGGGAAACCCUGAUGCAGCGACGCCGCGUGUGGGAAGACGGUCUUCUGGAUUGUAAACCACUGUCCCCAGGGACGAAAAUGACGGUACCUGGGGAGGAAGCUCCGGCUAACUACGUGCCAGCAGCCGCGGUAAUACGUAGGGAGCAAGCGUUGUCCGGAAUUACUGGGUGUAAAGGGAGCGUAGGCGGGGAUGCAAGUUGGGUGUCAAAACUACCGGCUCAACCGAUAGUCGCACUCAAAACUGCAGCUCUUGAGUGAAGUAGAGGCAGGCGGAAUUCCUAGUGUAGCGGUGAAAUGCGUAGAUAUUAGGAGGAACACCAGUGGCGAAGGCGGCCUGCUGGGCUGUGACUGACGCUGAGGCUCGAAAGUGUGGGGAGCAAACAGGAUUAGAUACCCCUGUAGUC
rnacentral:rRNA from 1 species